rnacentral:rRNA from 1 species
AUACGGAGGAUCCGAGCGUUAUCCGGAUUUAUUGGGUUUAAAGGGAGCGUAGGUGGAUUGUUAAGUCAGUUGUGAAAGUUUGCGGCUCAACCGUAAAAUUGCAGUUGAAACUGGCAGUCUUGAGUACAGUAGAGGUGGGCGGAAUUCGUGGUGUAGCGGUGAAAUGCUUAGAUAUCACGAAGAACUCCGAUUGCGAAGGAUUCUCACUAGACUGUUACUGUCCCUGAUUCUCGAAAGUGUCUGUAUCAAACCAGAUUAGAUAGCCUGGUAGUGCACACAGUAAACGAUGAAUACUCGAUCUUUGCGAUAUGCAGUAAGCGGCCAGGCGAAAACAGUUAGUAUUCCACCUGGGGAGUCCGCCGACAACGGUGAUACUCAAAUGAAUUGACGGGG